AAUAUAGCUGACUAAAACUGUAAAAAUAUAUGAUAAUGAAACUGAUCCAAAACUGCAUCUGUUUCAGAUAUAAUAUACAUUGGGACAGUGUAGCAAGUGUAUUUCCAUCAAAGAAGCAUCAAGACUCAAGAAUAUCCUUGACCUUUAUGAACAGCACCAAGUCUUGUUUUGCUGCUAAUGAAAAGCCUUCUGCCAUAGAAGACAUAUUUGCUGCCUCAGUGGGCCGGUGGCCUUCCUCUAAAUCCAUUGUUGAAGGAUCCUCUUCCAGACUGCUCCUAGCUGGGUAAAGUAUAUUUUACUCUAUGAGUAAUGUAGGUAACAUAUAUAUUUACACAUUGAUAUGUUUUCUGUCCCUCUGGGAAAAUGUGAAACUCAUAAUUAUCCCACUAACGUGAAUUUCUGCUUAACACUUGAAACAAUAAUAAAAGAAAACAGUUUAUUCUAGUGAAAUGUAAA
rnacentral:lncRNA from 1 species